GACGUAGGGGGCGAGCGUUGUCCGGAUUUAUUGGGCGUAAAGAGCUCGUAGGCGGUUCGAUAAGUCAGGUGUAAAAACUCCAGGCUCAACUUGGAGAGGCCACCUGAUACUGUCGUGACUAGAGUCCGGUAGAGGAGCACGGAAUUCCUGGUGUAGCGGUGAAAUGCGCAGAUAUCAGGAGGAACACCAGCGGCGAAGGCGGUGCUCUGGGCCGGAACUGACGCUGAGGAGCGAAAGCGUGGGGAGCGAACAGG
rnacentral:rRNA from 1 species